rnacentral:rRNA from 1 species
ACGAACGCUGGCGGCGUGCUUAACACCUGCCAGUCGCACGGAAAGGCCCUGCUUUUGUGGGGUGCUCGAGUGGCGAACGGGUGAGUAACACGUGAGUAACCUGCCCUUGACUUUGGGAUAACUUCAGGAAACUGGGGCUAAUACCGGAUAGGAGCUCCUGCUGCAUGGUGGGGGUUGGAAAGUUUCGGCGGUUGGGGAUGGACUCGCGGCUUAUCAGCUUGUUGGUGGGGUAGUGGCUUACCAAGGCUUUGACGGGUAGCCGGCCUGAGGGGGUGACCGGCCACAUUGGGACUGAGAUACGGCCCAGACUCCUACGGGAGGCAGCAGUGGGGAAUAUUGCACAAUGGGCGGAAGCCUGAUGCAGCAACGCCGCGUGCGGGAUGACGGCCUUCGGGUUGUAAACCGCUUUCGCCUGUGACGAAGCGUGAGUGACGGUAAUGGGUAAAGAAGCACCGGCUAACUACGUG